rnacentral:rRNA from 1 species
GACCUGGCGGCGGCCUACACAUGCNAGUCGAACGGCAGCACAGAGGAGCUUGCUCCUUGGGUGGCGAGUGGCGGACGGGUGAGGAAUGCAUCGGAAUCUGCCUAUUUGUGGGGGAUAACGUAGGGAAACUUACGCUAAUACCGCAUACGACCUACGGGUGAAAGCGGAGGACCUUCGGGCUUCGCGCAGAUAGAUGAGCCGAUGUCGGAUUAGCUAGUUGGCGGGGUAAAGGCCCACCAAGGCGACGAUCCGUAGCUGGUCUGAGAGGAUGAUCAGCCACACUGGAACUGAGACACGGUCCAGACUCCUACGGGAGGCAGCAGUGGGGAAUAUUGGACAAUGGGCGCAAGCCUGAUCCAGCCAUGCCGCGUGGGUGAAGAAGGCCUUCGGGUUGUAAAGCCCUUUUGUUGGGAAAGAAAAGCAGUCGGUUAAUACCCGAUUGUUCUGACGGUACCCAAAGAAUAAGCACCGGCUAACUUCGUGCCAGCAGCCGCGGUAAU